CUAGCCCAAUGCUCUUCCAAUUGAGCUACGCGGUCAGGACGGUUCGAGUAAGUGAUAUUUCGGAACAGUAUCUAGUUCCUUCAAUACCAAUGUGUUCUUGUAAUAUGAAUUUUUUUUUUUUUCUGUGCUGGUGUUGUGUACUCAGGUGAAUAAUAUGUUUGUGAUGUUACUCUGAGUGCAUAUCCACACCGGGCGAGCUUGAAAAAUAUGCCCGGCCACGGUGGGAUUCGAACCUACGACCUUUGGAAUACUAGCCCAAUGCUCUUCCAACUGAGCUACGCGGUCAGGACGGUUCGAGUAAGUGAUAUUUCGGAACAGAAUCUAGUUCCUUCGAUACCAAUGUAUUCUAUUAAUAUGAAUUUUUUUUUUUUUUUUUUCUGUGUUGGUGUAGUGUACUCAGGUGAAUAUGAUAUUUGUGGUGUUACUCUGAGUGUAUAUCCACACCGGGCGAGCUUGAAAAAUAUGCCCGGCUACGGUGGGAUUCGAACCUACGACCUUUGGAAUACUAGCCCAAUGCUCUUCCAACUGAGCUACGCGGUCAGGACGGUUCGAGUAAGUGAUAUUUCGGAACAGAAUCUAGUUCCUUCGAUACCAAUGUAUUCUAGUAAUAUGAAUUUUUUUUCUGUGUUGGUGUAGUGUACUCAGGUGAAUAUGAUAUUUGUGGUGUUACUCUGAGUGUACAUCCACACCGGGCGAGAUUGGAAAAUAUGCCCGGCCACGGUGGGAUUCGAAUCUACGACCUUUGGAAUACUAGCCCAAUGCUCUUCCAACUGAGCUACGCGGUCAGGACGGUUCGAGUAAGUGAUAUUUCGGAACAGUAUCUAGUUCCUUCAAUACCAAUGUGUUCUAGUAAUAUGAAUUUUUUUUUUCUGUGUUGGUGUUGUGUACUCAGGUGAAUAAUAUGUUUGCGAUGUUACUCUGAGUGCAUAUCCACACCGGGCGAGCUUGAAAAAUAUGCCCGGUCACGGUGGGAUUCGAACCUACGACCUUUGAAAUACUAGCCCAAUGCUCUUCCAGCUGAGCUACGCGGUCAGGACCGUUCGAGUAAGUGAUAUUUCGGAACAGUAUCUAGUUCCUUCAAUACCAAUGUGUUCUAGUAAUGAAUUUUUCUGUGUUGGUGUUGUGUACUCAGGUGAAUAAUAUGUAUGCGAUGUUAUUCUGAGCGCAUAUCCACACCGGGCAAGCUUGAAAAAUAUGCCCGGCCACAGUGGGAUUCGAA